CCCUUUCAUCUCCCUAUAAUACAAUCUCUGCUAAAGAAACAGCAGAGACCUCGACUCAUUACAGAUGGACCUGGCAGUUAAGAUUAAAUAUCUUUAUAUAGUUAUCAGCCGCUUCGUUUAGGCAUGACAUAUAGUUAAUUAAGAGCGAGAUAUUUACCGAGAAGACAAAUGUUUUUGUGCUUCUUCAGUAGUUAGCCGUUAGUUGCUCAAACUCAAAGUCGUCGUAACAGAUACUUUGCUAAAGUGGACAGCCAUCUGAAGACAGCAAGAACUGCUCAGAAUAAAUUGGAUUUUGAUCCUUAUCCAUUAAGUUUGAUCCUCAGGCAUAAAGUUGCCAUCAUAAAGGUUCAGCAAAUACAUAAUGCCACGGAGUGAACUUGCUGAAGAUAUCAAAGAAAAGAUCAUUUUUCACCAUAAGUCUGGUAAGGGCUACAGAUCUAUUUCAAAGAUGAUGGGAAUUUCCCGGUCCACAGUCAGAUCCAUAAUCCGCAAAUGGAAAACUCUUGGAACAGUGAUGAAUCUUCCCAGGAGUGGUCGACCAACUAAAAUCUCUGCAAGAGCAGAACGUAAAAUCAUCAAGGAAAUCACAAAGAAACCCGAUAUAACGGUCAAAGAACUGCAGGCUUCUCUUGCCUUAGCUAAAGUCAAAGUUCAUGUAUCUACAAUUACACGGACACUAGGAAGGUUAGGCUAUGUGAGAGAGUUUGAAACUGAAAACCAGUGCAGAAAAGAAGAAAAUGAAUCUCAAGCUUUUGAGGAGAUUGUUUUACAGAAAGAAAAGUAAAAAUUUGAGUUUUCUGUGUAAACCGAACUGGCCUACAGCAUCCCAACAGUCAAACAGUGGAUCCUCCAACUUUAUUGUGGCAUUACUUUGUAUGAAUCACGGGGGGUUCUGACCACCCUAAAGAAGGAGGGGUCAAAGAAAGUAGUCUAACCGUAAUAUGAAGCUUUACCUGUAGAUAUGAAGAUACAUUUUUAGCUCUGACUGUUUUUAAAUUGUAAAUAUGACCACCCCUGAAAUGCUCAUACCAUUAACAUUACCUGAGCACAGCAGUGGUAUUAAAUGCGCUAUGAAACCGCACUCAUUCAGGGAUAUGCAUUUAUUGCGUGGACGAAGAUCAUAAUGUGUUUAAAAUGCAUAUACACAAUUCAUUUGAAUGAUAACAUUUGCCCUCUUUAAUGCUGUGAAGCUGAAUACACGAAGCAUACUGUUUGCUAAAAAAUAUCCUCAACUCAGAAAUAGGAGUUUAUCUGUCAAUCAAUUGUGCUUGAAAGUUGUGUUCAUUUUAUAUAUGCGUGUGUACAUACACAUAUGAAGGCCACUGUAGACUUUGCACCCUCUUUGUAGGUCUUCUUAUAUAAUAUAUAAUUUUACAGCAGUCUCAUUGAAUGAAACUCAAAUGUAAAAUAAAUAUUCCUGUAAAAAAGAAAAAAUGUAUAA